UGGAUCAAUGAUGACAGCUGGUGGCGAAUGAGUCAUAUACAGUGAUACCAUGUGUCUGGAACUCUGAGGUCUAA